UUACAUCACAUAUGUUGCUUUCUUGAAAUGUAGGGUUUUCAACCCCCAAAUAUGAUUUAGAUCUUUUCAGGACAUUUGCAAUUGCUGCAGGCCUGACAACUGAGAGUACCAAUGAGUUUAAGUUAGGUUUUAUUUUUAUUUUCUUGACAUAAGCUUUUCUACCAAAGAUAUUUAUCAAAAUGUGCAUAUAGUUAUGUGUGAUUACUUCCACAGAUGACCUUUGUGUCUUAAAUUUACCAUCGGUUUGUCAUUUAAAAUAAAUUACUCUGCCACUAUCUUACAGCUAUACAACCCUUUACUAUAUGUGUCUCAUGAAGGCAACAGAAAAGAAACAGAAAUUGAACAUUCUGUUUUUUGGUUUAGACUGAAAAUGCAUUUACCAAUUCAGCCAUUCUGAGACUAUGUGCCUUUGGAUAAGAUCAUUUCAUAAUCACACAACUGAUAAUCAACAAAUUCAUCAUCACCUACAGAAGACAUCGUCACAUUUUAAUUCGGAAAAUUAAGGCUGUGUAAGUGGAAGAAUGAGGUCUCCAAAAUAUUGAUGCAUGCUUAAAAAAAUAGUUGAACAAAUCAUAGAUAAUUCAAUGUUUUUUUUUCAGAAAUAGUUUAGACUUUCAAAUAUUUCACAUUACUUUGUCCAUCCAGUGCACUUUCUUCACCCUCAUUAGAACAUUUGAAUCUCAAGGCCGCCAUCUUCCACUAAAUAUCAGUGCUCAUUUGUAUGGGAUAGAAUAUCGUUUCUCGCUCUGGAUUGAUUGGUUAAAGGUCAGUGGGAAUUUUCAGAUGACCCAUACCUUGGUCUUUACACAAAUGUAUUCUCAGUAACUCUUUACCAUAAGGUUGAAUGUAUUAAUCCAUUAGGUAUCAUGAACUAACAAUGAGCAACCAUAUUAAAGCAUUUUUUUAUUUAAGUUAAUUUAAGUGUACUAUUCUUCAUUGUUAAUUCCUGCUCGUUCAUAAUAAAGAUGAAUAAAUAGUUUAUGAGUUCAUGAUACCUAUAAUGUUAACAAAUUUAACCUUAUAGUAAAAUGUUACUAAAUUCUCAUCAAAACACCACUGAAGCACUAUUAAAAGAGAUGACACUGUCAAUGGCUUUGAUCCAUACCAUCAUCCCACAAUCAUGUUUAUAGUAUGGUAUGGAUCAAAUUUACACCCUGUACCAACAUAUUACACUUACAAAAUACCUCAUCCAAAAAACCUCCAAACUCACUCUCAAACUGUCCAACAUUAAAGGGAUAGUUCACCCAAAAAUGAAAAUUCUCUCAUCCUUUACUCAUCCUCAUCAUGUCAUACGACU